rnacentral:rRNA from 1 species
UACGUAGGGGGCGAGCGUUGUCCGGAUUUAUUGGGCGUAAAGAGCUCGUAGGCGGUUCGAUAAGUCGGAUGUGAAAUCUCCACGCUCAACGUGGAGGGGCCAUUCGAUACUGUCGUGACUCGAGUCCGGUAGGGGAGUGUGGAAUUCCCGGUGUAGCGGUGAAAUGCGUAGAUAUCUGGAGGAAUACCGGUGGCGAAGGCGGCAUCCUGGACCGACAUUGACGCUGAGGAGCGAAAGCUAGGGGAGCAAACGGG